AUUCGACUGAGGAGUUCCAGAUAGGAAGAAACGCGCGUCCUGGAU
rnacentral:hammerhead_ribozyme from 1 species